UGCAAUGUUUGUUCAAUCUUAUAAUUUUCUGUAUAAUUAAAAAAAUCAAUCCUUGUAGCACAUUUCAUUUUAAACAUCAAUUUUCCUUACAGCUAGUUUCCUAAUGCAUGUAAAGCAAAACUUUGGUUGGCUUGCUUGCUUUGUUUGUAAAAUUGUUUGUACAAGAUUUGUAAAUAAGAUUGACAUCUUUAAACAAUAUAUAUAUAGGCAUAGUUUAACCUGUAUAUAUAAUAUUUGAAUUUAAUUGGGUGUUAUCCUAAUGAUUGUACAUUAUAAAAACAAAGCAAGCAAGCUAACUAAAGUCUUGCUCUACAUGCUUUAGGAAAUUAGCUGUAACAAUU
rnacentral:lncRNA from 1 species